UAAAAAGGAUCAGUCAAAUUUUUUUAAGUUUGACCAACUUUAGAAAAAAGCAUCAAUAUCUUUGACAUAAAAUUAAUAUAUUGUAAAAUAUAUUCUAUGAUAAAUUUAAUGUUGAAGACGAUCAACGGGCCGGCCCGGCAUGGCCCGUUGGCCGAUUUUUGGGCCGGCCCGGGCCGAAAAGCACGCGGCCCAAUAGUCCUUCGAGCCGGCCCAUAGUUCGCUAUAUGAAAAAUACCAAAUUUAAUACAUAACUUAACAAAGCAUAAGUAAAUCACAUUCAGUUCAUAGACAUUAAUAUUUCACAAUUCACACAACACAAUAUACUCACAGAUCAUAUUUCACUUGUCAAAAAUUACAAGUUUGACAAGUCACAUAACCUGAUACUUCAAAUUUCAUAUAUUUCCUGAUAUCGGGCCGACACCGUGCCUGCUGUUAAAAGCGGGCCGGGUCGUGCUGCCCGGCGGACCAAGGGGUCGGCCCAAGCACGGCCCGCUACAUGCUUCGAGUCGGCCCGGGCCCGGGCCCGGUUAGGAUCGGGCCGUGCCGUGCUCGGGACGGGCCAAAUCACCGUGCUUUGGACCAUGUCUUCGGCCCGCGGGCUGCAUGCUCAACUUUGAAUUUGGUACUAUAAAUCUUAGCGGUUUUAACAAUAGGAAUUGAAACUUUUAGAGACAAAGGGAGUAUUUGUAUAGUCACAAAACCCAUAAGACAUUCGGACAUCAGCAUUUGUAAUAAUCUCAUUUGUACUAUUUAACUAUAUAUGGGCAUGUGUCCGACGUUGAACUUUACUAGAUGAUACCUCGCGCUUUGUUGCGGAAAUUUUGGAACGUUGAACAAUUGUUAAAUACUAAGAUGGACAUAUUAAAUUUGAAAAUAAAGAAUGAAUGGGAUAAAAACAAAAUGAGGGGAAAUGAUGAACUGCCUGUGUCCACAGUCCACGACAGGCUGCCUUGCUGGUCUCUCAGUUCUUCGUGAGGAGAGCACGAUAAAAAAAAAUUAAAAAGGAGAGGAGAUGUUAGGUGGCCCACCAACACGCGCACCUGGCUUCGGCCUUCUCAUGAUGGCUUCGAAAGCUCCAUGGAUAUCUUAACAAAAAAAAACACUUGAUUCUCCAAUCUCUGGCAAGGCUGUGAGGCGUCCGUUCUGCAUCCCGCCCACGGCCGGGCAGGGAGGCUCCACGCACCUCGUGGCUGCACUGGGCUCGUGCACAGGCAGGGCUUCGUUUGGCUUCGCUGAUAAGCCAUCAUAAAAAAAUAUUGUUGGUUAAUUUAUUAUAAGAAAAAAAUACUGCUGAAUAGUUAGCAGAUUCGGUUGAUAAGCUUAACCGAGGUCUAGCAGUGGGCUGGAGGCGGUUGGGGCCAGCCGGCCAAGGCGCAGCCACCACCAGCAGCUAGAGGACCGAGGAAGGUGGAAAGUUAAAGGAGCGGUGCUCGGCCGGUGGGUGCGCGUCGACACCUAUCUGUCAAUGUAUGCAGGGGCGGAUAUAAGCCUGGGGCAACUGGGGCCAUAACCCUAGGUGUGGCUCAAAAUAUCUCUUAUACCAUAUGUAAAUUUCUGGCUUAGUUUGAAGUAAUUCUAAACAUUGGAAUUAAAUCAUCAGGACCAAAUAGAGAGAGAGAGAGGAGAGAGCAAUCCGAGUUCUAACUUCGCGGGCAUUGCCCUGACCCCCACUCCGCGUCGCAAAUCCUCACUACAGCGCUCUGCCUGCCGCGCUGCAAAUCCCCACUACAGCCCUCUGCCUGUCGCUCGUCAACCCAC
rnacentral:lncRNA from 1 species